GUGACUGCGUACCUUUUGUAUAAUGGGUCAGCGACUUAUAUUCUGUAGCAAGGUUAACCGAAUAGGGGAGCCGGAGGGAAACCGAGUCUUAAUUGGGCGUUAAGUUGCAGGGUAUAGACCCGAAACCCGGUGAUCUAGCCAUGGGCAGGUUGAAGGUUGGGUAACACUAACUGGAGGACCGAACCGACUAAUGUUGAAAAAUUAGCGGAUGACCUGUGGCUGGGGGUGAAAGGCCAAUCAAACCGGGAGAUAGCUGGUUCUCCCCGAAAGCUAUUUAGGUAGCGCCUCGUGAAUUCAUCUCCGGGGGUAGAGCACUGUUUCGGCUAGGGGGCCAUCCCGGCUUACCAACCCGAUGCAAACUGCGAAUACCGGAGAAUGUUAUCACGGGAGACACACGGCGGGUGCUAACGUCCGUCGUGAAGAGGGAAACAACCCAGACCGCCAGCUAAGGUCCCAAAGUCAUGGUUAAGUGGGAAACGAUGUGGGAAGGCCCAGACAGCCAGGAUGUUGGCUUAGAAGCAGCCAUCAUUUAAAGAAAGCGUAAUAGCUCACUGGUCGAGUCGGCCUGCGCGGAAGAUGUAACGGGGCUAAACCAUGCACCGAAGCUGCGGCAGCGACGUUUAUGCGUUGUUGGGUAGGGGAGCGUUCUGUAAGCCUGCGAAGGUGGCCUGUGAGGGUUGCUGGAGGUAUCAGAAGUGCGAAUGCUGACAUAAGUAACGAUAAAGCGGGUGAAAAGCCCGCUCGCCGGAAGACCAAGGGUUCCUGUCCAACGUUAAUCGG
rnacentral:rRNA from 1 species